GUGCAGCAGGCGAGAAACCUUCGCAAUGCAGGAAACUGCGACGAGGGAACUCCAAGUGCCUACGCUCAGCGUAGGCUGUUCUCAAGCCUAGAAAGCUUGAGGAGUAAGGGCUGGGUAAGACGGGUGCCAUCUGUGGUAGCAGUCAAUAGAUUCGAUUUGUUACUGCAAGGCAUAAGCCGCCGCGGUAAUAUCCGCAGCCCAAGUGGUGGCCGCUUUUAUUGGGCCUAAAGCGUCCGUAGCCGGCCCGGUAAAUGCCUGGGUAAAUCGUGGAGCCCAACUUCACGAAUUCCGGGUAGACUGCCGAGCUCGGGACCGGAAGAGGGAGAGGGGUACUUCAGGGGUAGGGGUGAAAAGUUUCCUUUCC
rnacentral:rRNA from 1 species